UCAAAAGAUAAACUCCAAGCAUGCCAGUGUAUGAGGAAGAGUAUUUCGUGAAGACUGGAUUUCCUCAGUGACUUACAGUGGAAACAGAGACAGGAGGUCAUGAAAAUUAGUUGCUAGCUUCCCACUAGCCUGAGAGGAGUGGGCUAUACUCCAGGGCAUUGGACAAAUAACUGAACAUCACUUAACCAUUUCAAACUAAGGCAAAAUGCACUGGAACGCCUGCCCGAUUCCGCACUUCACACCCCUUCCUCUGGAGUAUCUUCAGGAUUCCAGCCUGAGUCCCUGACCUCUGAGCCUCACCCACAGAACACUCUCCUCAGAGGUCCCCUAGGACAAAGGCCAUGCCACCUUCCGGUUGCGGUGACUGGGGGACGCUGCUUGGUUUCCUGGCAACUACUGCUCUGUUUUUUUACCUGUGGCUCCAGAGGAAGUCAGAAACCUGUCCAGCCCAGAUCUCCGUGAACGCCUCUGCUGCAGCUCACCUAACCCGGCCAGGGACCAGGAGCCCAUGGAAAGCAAUGAUGAGUACUGAGGAAAGAUGUAGGGAUGAGGUCUGGAGCACCCAUCUGAAGAUUUAGGCAGUGCUUAUUUUUUAAAUUAAGCAGAGCACCUCGGAACACGUCUCAGAGGCAAAGAUUCCUCUGCUGUCUAUUUAGAGGUGAAGAAAGAACAGCCCACAGCAGCCUCAGCUGAGCAGCAGUAAAAGGAACCUGUAGUUGGAGCUCUUCUUAAGAAGUCUGAAAAUCAGGAGUUCCCAUCGUGGCACGCGGAAACAAAUCCGACUAGGAACCAUGAGGUUGAGGGUUCGAUCCCUGGCCUUGCUCAGGGGGUUGGGGAUCCGGCGUUGCUGUGAGCUGUGGUGUAGGUCACAGACAUGGCUUGGAUCUGGCAUUGCUGUGGCUGUGGGGUAGGCUGACAGUUGUAGCUCCGAUUAGACCUCUAGCCUGGGACCCUGCAUAUGCUGCAGGUGCGGCCCUAAAAAGACAAAAAAAAAAAAGUCUGAAAAUCAGAUAAUAACAGAUCUUCAGACUUGGUAAUGGUAUUUAUUCUGGAGCUGAAUCUCAGCUUCUGCUUUCAAAUGGUGCAUGUGCUCCCCAAUUAACCACAGUAUCUGCCGCUUGGUAUUGUUUCCUUGAAUCUGAGCCAAGUGACAGCUGCCAUUUAGUCCCUCAAACAUCCAAUUAUUUACUCACAAUAGACUUAAGAAAAGAGUGCCUCUUUUACCCAUGUCUCUGGCAAAAGUAGGAAAAUAAAAGACAGAAAAAGAAGAGUCUGUGGUUUCAAGAAGAGAUCAUUUCCUUGUAAAAGUAAAAAGUAUUCCUAUAUAUAUGCAAAUAAAGUGUGUCUUUGUUGAUUAAAUACAAAUAAAGAUACCAUUAUAAAACAUAUUAUAGCAAGAAUUAUGAUAGGCUAGAGGAAGAUGCAUGUUGAAGAAAUUAAUGAACUAAAAAAUAAAGAACUGAACUUUAAA
rnacentral:lncRNA from 1 species